AGAGUUUGAUCCUGGCUCAGGACGAACGCUGGCGGCGCGCCUAACACAUGCAAGUCGAACGAGCGAGAGAGAGCUUGCUUUCUCGAGCGAGUGGCGAACGGGUGAGUAACGCGUGAGGAACCUGCCUCAAAGAGGGGGACAACAGUUGGAAACGACUGCUAAUACCGCAUAAGCCCGCGGUGCCGCAUGGCACAGGGGGAAAAGGAGCAAUCCGCUUUGAGAUGGCCUCGCGUCCGAUUAGCUAGUUGGUGAGGUAACGGCCCACCAAGGCGACGAUCGGUAGCCGGACUGAGAGGUUGAACGGCCACAUUGGGACUGAGACACGGCCCAGACUCCUACGGGAGGCAGCAGUGGGGAAUAUUGCACAAUGAGGGAAACCCUGAUGCAGCGACGCCGCGUGGAGGAAGAAGGUCUUCGGAUUGUAAACUCCUGUUGUUGAGGAAGAUAAUGACGGUACUCAACAAGGAAGUGACGGCUAACUACGUGCCAGCAGCCGCGGUAAAACGUAGGUCACAAGCGUUGUCCGGAAUUACUGGGUGUAAAGGGAGCGCAGGCGGGAAGACAAGUUGGAAGUGAAAUCUAUGGGCUCAACCCAUAAACUGCUUUCAAAACUGUNUUUCUUGAGUAGUGCAGAGGUAGGCGGAAUUCCCGGUGUAGCGGUGGAAUGCGUAGAUAUCGGGAGGAACACCAGUGGCGAAGGCGGCCUACUGGGCACCAACUAACGCUGAGGCUCGAAAGUGUGGGUAGCAAACAGGAUUAGAUACCCUGGUAGUCCACACCGUAAACGAUGAUUACUAGGUGUUGGAGGAUUGACCCCUUCAGUGCCGCAGUUAACACAAUAAGUAAUCCACCUGGGGAGUACGACCGCAAGGUUGAAACUCAAAGGAAUUGACGGGGGCCCGCACAAGCAGUGGAGUAUGUGGUUUAAUUCGACGCAACGCGAAGAACCUUACCAAGUCUUGACAUCCUCUGACGAACGUAGAAAUACGUUUUCUCUUCGGAGCAGAGAGACAGGUGGUGCAUGGUUGUCGUCAGCUCGUGUCGUGAGAUGUUGGGUUAAGUCCCGCAACGAGCGCAACCCUUAUGGUCAGUUACUACGCAAGAGGACUCUGGCCAGACUGCCGUUGACAAAACGGAGGAAGGUGGGGAUGACGUCAAAUCAUCAUGCCCUUUAUGACUUGGGCUACACACGUACUACAAUGGCGUUAAACAAAGAGAAGCAAGACCGCGAGGUGGAGCAAAACUCAGAAACAACGUCCCAGUUCGGACUGCAGGCUGCAACUCGCCUGCACGAAGUCGGAAUUGCUAGUAAUCGCAGAUCAGCGUGCUGCGGUGAAUACGUUCCCGGGCCUUGUACACACCGCCCGU
rnacentral:rRNA from 1 species